rnacentral:miRNA from 1 species
UGUGUGUGUUCGUGUGUGUGUAUUUCUGUAUAUAUAUAUAUAUAUAUAUAUACACACACACACACACACACACACACACACACACACACACAC